GCAGAUAUAGUUUUAACCAAAACAUUAGGCUGUGAUCCUAAAGAUAGAAGUUAGACUCUUCUUACCUGCC
rnacentral:tRNA from 1 species